AAGCCAGCUAGUGAUUCUGCUUACCUGCAUGUGUUUUUGCAGAAAUUUUAGGAAAAGCUGGCAAUAAUAAUGCCAUGUUACGAGCCUUAAGGACACCGAAGUCAUUAAGGUCCCUGAAAAUGGCUACAAAU
rnacentral:snoRNA from 1 species